GCAAAACAAUGACAAUUUUCAUUUGUCUUCUAUUUUCAGUCUCCCCCACUGUGCCAAAUCUGGUGACAACGUCAGUACCUAAUCCGGAUCAUCAAUCCACCAUCUGUAGCACCUGGGGAAAUUUUCACUUCAGGACCUUUGAUGGUCAUUUCUAUCAAAUGGCUGACACAUGUAACCACAUUCUGGCUGGGAUGUGUGACACACAUGUCUCAGAUUUUAACAUCCAAAUGCAAAGAACAAUUGUGAAUGGCUCGGUUACUUUCACCUCAGUCACAUUAGAGCUGGAGGGGACGUCCAUCAAAUUUAGUCAAGGCAACAUCUUCAUGGACGACCAAGUAUUGAAUAUUGUACAUGAUUAAUGGCUUAUAACGCUGCAAAGCAACAAAUAUCCAAUGAGGAAAAGUGAAUGAAAAUACUCCCGGAACCUGUAUGUCGAAAAGUGGGCGGGCGCUGCUGUCUUGAACAGAAUUUGAAAAGUGAGUGUGAUUGAAACGGUCAUUUGAACUGAACUGGGAAAAAGCCAGCAGAGUUGCAGCUGUGAGGCAUAACUGUGUAACGCCACAGAUAAAAAAAUUGAUUCCACCGUUAAAAGAUGGCUGUGUCUGGCCCUGGACAGAGAUGGUGGCCGAAAAGAAAGGAUGAAGGACAAUAUGACUGAUUAACAGGCUUUAUGCAUGGAUGUUUAACAGCUCUGUCCAAAUUUCAACUUGUUCGAUUAUAGAUUUGUGACUGUUUCAGAGACAUUUGAAGAGUGCUUCUUGUUCCUGACCAUAAACGUUGAUGUUCAAGUGUUAUGUGAAGUGGAAAUUGAUGACUAGAAACAUGGAUUAUCAAGUUACAUUUAAAUUGAAACAUCAUGAACCAAAAAGCGGCACCUGUUUUAUUUCUGUUUUCAUUUAUUUUUUGCUGAACUGACAAAGGAAUGUUAUUUUAGAAACUUGUUUGUACAACUGGAAAA